ACUGGUACACCUGAGUGAGAUAGUUAUGCUGCCCUGUGUUCUCUUCAAGAGUGCCUCUAGUGGCUAGGGGAGGUAGUAAUCCAGGGUCCUAUAAGAGCCAGUUCUGGUCACACAUUCCCCCUCAGUUCUGGCAUGAGGUGGAAGGGGAGAUUGGCUUUCUUUUGGUAGAGAGUAAGCUGUCUUAUCUUAUAGACACAAACACUUCUGUAGCUUUCAAUAAGAAAAGAAAACAGAUGCAAUUGAUCUACACCAAUUAUUUCCCUGUUUUAAUCUUUAAUUUGAAUAUAUUUAUUCCAUCUAGAAGUCAGAGUUACAGUAUUGCUCCCUCUCAUUAAAAGCUUGAAUGAGAUUUUGUUUUCCUACACUGCCCUAUUGGUAGGAAAGUGCCCUCUUUCCAUUGCCCCUCCCAUGUAUCCAAAUUACAUUGGUAGGCGGAAAAUAUAUUUUUUGUGAAAGCAAGGCUAGCAUUACAGUUGUACUAAUUGGGAGAAAUAGCUAUUGUUGCCCAUGGAGAAAUAAAAAAAAUGUGUAAUCCACAUGAGAGCUAUUCCUUUUGAACAUAAAAAAAUCCCAAGAAGCUAUGAGGGAUUCCAAGUCAUUAAUAAGAUCAACAACAAGGAACAUUCUGAGAUCAGUAGCUUAACUGAAGAGAGAAGAAGAAAUCAAGAGUAAUAGCACAACAUUUGGAAACAAAGAGGAAACACCCUUUAUUUUCUUCAGUGACAAACAAUGGUAGCAGGGUUGUCUGGCUGAUUUCAGGCUGCUGCUCCUCAGGGACUGGCUACAAUCAAUUUUCCACUGAAAACUGCCUUUCCUUUCAUGUGCUUGUGGGUCUGUGACUGUGGAAGAGAUCUGAUAUGUGCUUUCCUUAUGGGAAAUUUGGCAUUCUUCUUGACCAAAACAUACCUUUUCCCCUUAAUUACAGGACUAUUAGAAUUCAAGGUUAAAUUUGAGCUCUACAGAUCAGGCUAUUCCCUCCUCCCCCCCCCCCCUUUCUAUAUGUGUAUUUUAUAUAUCUUAUAUUCACUUGGUUCUACUGUAGGGAUGGAACAGACAUCUCCCGUUAGAUGCCCCCUGCUUACAUAGGCCUCACCCUCUAUUAGGCAAGUGUCCUUUUUUAAGAUUUAUAUGUCCCAAACUUGCUUGCUAGAGACAGUCUCUUGCAUCAGGAUUAAAGAACUUUGAUGAUUGGUAAUCAGUAAAAGCGAGUGUAGUGCAGUGGCUUGAAUGUUAGACUAUAACCCUGGAGACCAAGAUUCAAAUCCCUGCUCAGCCAUGAAAGCCCAGAGUCAUCUUGGGAAAGUCACAUUUUCUCAGCCUCAAAGGAAGGCAAAGGCAAAAGUCUGAACAAAUCUUGCCAAGAAAACUGCAAUAAAGUCACCCUUGACUUUAACAGGUGGGAAAUGAUUUGUUGGCACACAACAAGAAGAGGAGGAAAACAAUUAUAGCCUCAGUUAGAUCAAAGGUGAAACAUUAGUUUCCAUCCAACCAACGGCUCUUACUGAAGUUAUUCGACAUCAAGUCAGCUUCAACUUGCAGUGGCCUACAUUUCUAGUUCCCCUUGAUUAAUGCAUCUUACUUCCAAUGCUCCUAUUAGGUUGUGCAGCUUCAAACUUUCCUUCUACUUCUGAGUUAUAUUAGCAGGUGAAUGUCCUUUCUGCUAGAAUCAAAUUGCAUAAUUAAAACAUUGUGACACUUGUAUUUGACCUCUGCUUUUCCCCAGUAACUUGUUGAUUGCUUUCAACUUCAAGACAUUCAUAUUUCUGCAUUAUCUCUAGAUUCAUUUGGACUGUCUCAACUCAGGCCAUUACCAAAUCAAGUAAGAACUAGCAGAGGGAAACUUGCACUUCUUUAACCAACAGCUGAAUUUUCCUUUUAUUGGUUCCCAAAACAAAGCCUUGCCAAAUUGCCACCUACACUCAAAAGUACAUAUUUUAACCAUUCUUUUUCUUUAACAGGUUAAAAUUUGGGAGAUACCUGACCUGUUUGCCAGAAACAAAUUAGGGAUGUUUGGUUGCUCUAUUGCAUAAGAAUCUAUCAAUGGAGUAGUGUUUAUCUUUGAAUCGAUGUGCUGAUUUAUACUUAUCUUGUCCUUCCAUAGAAUCUCCUUUGGCUCCUAAGAUGCACAUUUAAAAGCAGACCAUACAAAUAGCCUAUUUGCACAAACAGGAUAACAGUCAAGGAGACACACAAGACUGCAAUCAAUUCUUGUGAGCAGGGGGUCCUUAAACAAAAGGCUUCCCUACUCAGGAAAAGUGAUCUGAUGCAGAGGAGCAUUGUAUGGCCCCCAUAUUUACAAGAAAUAAGUUCCAAGACCACCACAUCCCAUGGAUAUCUGAAUCUAUGAACAAUAGCAAACUCUAUAUUGGACUACUUGGACUAGAAGGAACUAGCUGAGGUUAUUUCAGAACCCCUUGCAAUUAUCUUCGAGAGUUCUUGUAGAACAGGAGAAGUCCCAGCAGAUUGGAGGAGGGAAAAUGUGGUCCCUGUCUUCAAGAAGAGAAAAAAGAACGACCCAAACAAUUACCGUUGGUCAGCCUCACGUCGAUACCAGGCAAGAUUCUGGAAAAGAUCAUUAAGGAAGUGGUCUGCAAACACUUAGAAACAAAUGCAGUCAUUGCUAAUAGUCAACACAGAUUUACCAAAAACAAGUCAUGCCAGACUAACCUAAUCUCUUUUUUUCGAUAGAGUUACAAGUUGGGUCGAUACAGGGAAUGCUGUGGAUGUAGCGUACCUGGAUUUCAGUAAGACCUUCGACAAAGUCCCUCAUGACCUUCUGGCAAACAAACUAGUAAAAUGUGGGCUAGACAAAACUACGGUUAGGUGGAUCUGUAAUUGGCUAAGCAAACGAACCCAAAGGGCCAAUGCAUCGUCUUCAUUUUGGAAAGAAGUCACGAGUGGAGUGCCGCAGGGUUCCGUCCUGGGCCUGGUUCUGUUUAACAUCUUUAUUAACAACUUAGACGUUGCCCAGGGGACACCUGGAUGUUUUUACUAUCCUUAUGGGAGGCUUUUUUUUAAGCAUGGGUAAGUGAAACCAUGAAUAUUGAAUCCAUGGAUAAGGAAGUCACACUGUAUUUUUCUCAAAGCACCCAAAGUGCCAAGUCCUCCUUUUGCAACCAAAGCAUCUCCUUUCAGGUGCUUGUUUUCUCUCCUACCUAAUUUUUGUUUUUGUUUUUCUCCCAUUGGUGUCAUUUUUUUUAGGCUUUAGAUCUGAGGGCAGGAAUAGUUAAGUCACUAAUAUUUGCAAGCUGCUCUAUGUCCCCUUUUAUUGUUGAGGGGGAGGGGAGGACAAAGGUAAAAAUGUUCCAAAUAAACCAAUUGUUGUGUUGGAGGUCAUGUUGUGCUCUCUCAUCCAUGCCAGGCCCAUUAUAUCAAUAUUAUACUCAGCUGUCCCAAUGUACAGUAGUAGUUCAUAAGAAAAGGAACCAUGAAUUAAAUAAAGUGCAAAUAUAUUAGCAGAAAUGAUUUGUAGAUAAGCGUGUCCUUUGAAAGAAAGAAAUACUUUUGUGAACAAAUAGACUAUAUCCUGAAGAUUUUUAUGAAAUUGUUUGUUUUCUUUCCAGGAACGUGUUAGCCUGAAUGCUAUCAGGCACUCUUACAUAUGAAAUUUAAGGCAAAUGACAUAUGGUGGUGAGCAGGUGGAACUGAAGGAGAGAUUAACUAUGCAUAUAUGAAAUCACAACAGGAAUAAAUAUUUAAUGUCAUGUAUUGGAAAGCGAAGUAAGGUCUUUCAUGACAGUGGACUUUAAUGCUUAUGUAAAUUAAUUAGAAUUCCUGAUAUUCAUUGCACCAAUUAUUAUUUCAUAAAGCACUGCAAUAGUUUUAAACCAAUAUUGACUUUAUUUCCCUAAAUGAAACUGUAUUUAUGAAAAUGUAGCUGAAUAUAGAGAAGGUUUUAACCUAGACAGAACUAGAAUAUUUUCAAAGUGAAUUCUAAAGUGCAAAUGUUAAUCACCUACAUUUGUACUAACUAUAUUUAAAUUAGUCAUAGCACCACUAGGAAUCUAUCAUAUGUGUUUCUAUAGUGAAGUUGCAUUACAUGGGGAUUAUGCAGAUGGUUAACUGAAUGGGUUAUUUAUUAAGACUUCCAUUUAGAAAGGGCAAAAAUAAUGUUAGAUGGAAUAUCUUUAGAUACUGUGAUUUCUGUACACUUCUGCUAUGUACACAAGAUUAGUUCCUACUUUUCAUCUGUGGCCUAAGCAUAUUGAUAUUAAAAGCAACUGGCUGAUUUACUAGAA